rnacentral:snoRNA from 1 species
UGUCCUAUGUGAUGAUUGAAUACCGCCCCAGUCUGAUUUUAUUCAUGACUGAUUGGUACAUGUAGUCUGAAUGACA